rnacentral:rRNA from 1 species
GCCUAACACAUGCAAGUCGAACGGCAGCACAGAGGAGCUUGCUCCUUGGGUGGCGAGUGGCGGACGGGUGAGGAAUACGUCGGAAUCUGCCUAUUUGUGGGGGAUAACGUAGGGAAACUUACGCUAAUACCGCAUACGACCUACGGGUGAAAGCGGAGGACCUUCGGGCUUCGCGCAGAUAGAUGAGCCGACGUCGGAUUAGCUAGUUGGCGGGGUAAAGGCCCACCAAGGCGACGAUCCGUAGCUGGUCUGAGAGGAUGAUCAGCCACACUGGAACUGAGACACGGUCCAGACUCCUACGGGAGGCAGCAGUGGGGAAUAUUGGACAAUGGGCGCAAGCCUGAUCCAGCCAUGCCGCGUGUGUGAAGAAGGCCUUCGGGUUGUAAAGCACUUUUGUCCGGAAAGAAAAGCUUCGGGUUAAUACCCCGAGGUCAUGACGGUACCGGAAGAAUAAGCACCGGCUAACUUCGUGCCAGCAGCCGCGGUAAUACGAAGGGUGCAAGCGUUACUCGGAAUUACUGGGCGUAAAGCGUGCGUAGGUGGUUUGUUAAGUCUGAUGUGAAAGCCCUGGGCUCAACCUGGGAAUGGCAUUGGAAACUGGCUUACUAGAGUGCGGUAGAGGGUAGUGGAAUUCCCGGUGUAGC